UUUCACAUAGUAAUGUCCUAAGGAAAUUGUUCUAAAGUAGGAAAUUUUUUAAAAAAUAACAAAUUUUACAGUACUAGUUUUAUCUUAAAAAUGCUAUCCAUGUAAAAAAAUAUUUGAA